rnacentral:rRNA from 1 species
GCUGGCGGCAGGCCUAACACAUGCAAGUCGAGCGGAUGACGGGAGCUUGCUCCUGGAUUCAGCGGCGGACGGGUGAGUAAUGCCUAGGAAUCUGCCUGGUAGUGGGGGACAACGUUUCGAAAGGAACGCUAAUACCGCAUACGUCCUACGGGAGAAAGCAGGGGACCUUCGGGCCUUGCGCUAUCAGAUGAGCCUAGGUCGGAUUAGCUAGUUGGUGGGGUAAUGGCUCACCAAGGCGACGAUCCGUAACUGGUCUGAGAGGAUGAUCAGUCACACUGGAACUGAGACACGGUCCAGACUCCUACGGGAGGCAGCAGUGGGGAAUAUUGGACAAUGGGCGAAAGCCUGAUCCAGCCAUGCCGCGUGUGUGAAGAAGGUCUUCGGAUUGUAAAGCACUUUAAGUUGGGAGGAAGGGCAGUAAGCGAAUACCUUGCUGUUUUGACGUUACCGACAGAAUAAGCACCGGCUAACUCUGUGCCAGCAGCCGCGGUAAUACAGAGGGUGCAAGCGUUAAUCGGAAUUACUGGGCGUAAAGCGCGCGUAGGUGGUUCGUUAAGUUGGAUGUGAAAGCCCCGGGCUCAACCUGGGAACUGCAUCCAAAACUGGCGAGCUAGAGUAUGGUAGAGGGUGGUGGAAUUUCCUGUGUAGCGGUGAAAUGCGUAGAUAUAGGAAGGAACACCAGUGGCGAAGGCGACCACCUGGACUGAUACUGACACUGAGGUGCGAAAGCGUGGGGAGCCAA